rnacentral:tRNA from 1 species
AGCAGCGUGGCUCAGUGGAAAGAGCCUGGGCUUUGGAGUCUGAGGUCAUGGGUUCGAAUCCUGGCCCUGCCA